AACGAACGCUGGCGGCAGGCUUAACACAUGCAAGUCGAGCGCCCCGCAAGGGGAGCGGCAGACGGGUGAGUAACGCGUGGGAAUCUACCCAUCUCUACGGAAUAACGCAUGGAAACGUGUGCUAAUACCGUAUACGUCCUUCGGGAGAAAGAUUUAUCGGAGAUGGAUGAGCCCGCGUUGGAUUAGCUAGUUGGUGGGGUAAAGGCCUACCAAGGCGACGAUCCAUAGCUGGUCUGAGAGGAUGAUCAGCCACACUGGGACGGAGACACGGCCCAGACUCCUACGGGAGGCAGCAGUGGGGAAUAUUGGACAAUGGGCGCAAGCCUGAUCCAGCCAUGCCGCGUGAGUGAUGAAGGCCCUAGGGUUGUAAAGCUCUUUCACCGGUGAAGAUAAUGACGGUAACCGGAGAAGAAGCCCCGGCUAACUUCGCGCCAGCAGCCGCCGUAACAC
rnacentral:rRNA from 1 species